AUUGCCAAUAACAAUUUCCGAAAAUUGUUGGAGCAUUAAAUUCUAAGGUCGACUGUUUUUACUAUAAAUUAUUUAAAAUAGCUAAAAAUUGCAAAUUAUUUUUGUGAAAUAGCCAAAAAACAUGUUCUUGCUAAAUUGCGUGGAUUCCAGAUCAUGCAAAAUAGCCAAAUCUGUCUAUAAAAUAGCUAAAUCGAGCUAUAAAUAAUCACUUCUUAGUGCGUUGACUUACACUAACUGAAGGAAUGAACUUCGUAAAAUCCUAAAAAUCAAAAGGUUAUGGUCGUUGUUCCUUCUAAAGGAAUUAUUCAUUAUUACGAAAAAUGUCGAAGAUAUUAAAGAAAACCUUUGUAUAUGGAAAACGACUAUGUACUACGGAUUUUUGCAUGUACACAAAUUAGUCAUUGGUUUAGUCAAAAUGGGUUGGAAGUAUCUCACAGUCGAGCGUACUCGACUGUAUCUUUCUUGUUUUUUUGGUAAUAUGUGAUAACCUGCCUUUGGAUUAUAUAUAUAACUAAAAACUAUAUAAUUGUAAACUCUUCUAAGCCUGUGAUAUUGUUUAUUUGAUAAAUUAGUGCAUGUACACAAGAAUUAUAUAGCAACAUAUGUUUGUA